GUGUUGGAGCCCAGAAAUGGGACACCCGCUAAAAUUGGAUCGAUACAGAGAACAUUAGCAUGGUCCGUGCGCAAGGAUAACACGUAAACAGCGGCAGGCGCUUCGAUGCGGCUCAUUUAU